GGGGGCUGCCCGAGGACACGGUCAGGUGGGGAGGCUCUGGAAGGCUGCCCUGAGCCCUCCUGGGGCCCACGGCUCCACAGCCGGGGCAGCUGGGUGACGUCACAGGCAGGGUGACGUGGGCCUGUGGUGCCCAGCAGCACGUGAGAGUGAUAUGGAGUGACAACUGUCAGCAGCCCACUGCUUGGCCCUGCCCCGAGGCAGGGACUGCUGGAAAUGAGCCCUCCAGACCAACUUCCUGCUGCUGCCGUGAUGGAAGGGCAGCUCCUGGGCUCAUCCCCUCAGGCGUUCGGAACUCCCUGUCCCCCUUGCGGGCUCGCUGGGCACUUGGGCCAGGAAGCCUCUGCAUCUGUCCUCUCUGGGAUGACGGACGUGGGGCCCCAGCAUACUGUCAUGCUCAUUAAAGGCUCACUCACCUGAGAAA